rnacentral:tRNA from 1 species
GGCUUAGUGAUCUAAUGGCUAAGUGAUUACUGUGAAGACUAAAAGUUUUGGGUUCGAUUCCCUGGUAGGUCA